rnacentral:rRNA from 1 species
GUGAGUCAUCGAAUCUUUGAACGCACCUUGCGCCCCUUGGUAUUCCGAGGGGCACACCCGUUUGAGUGUCGUGAAAACCUCAACCUCCUUGGUUUCUUCUGGAGACCAAAGCAGGCUUGGACUUUGGAGGCCCUUUGCUGGCACCUCUCUUUUGAAGGCCAGCUCCUCUUAAAUGAAUUAGCAGGGUCCUCUUUGCUGAUCCUCGACGUGUGAUAAGAUGUUUCCAUGUCUUGGUUUCUGGCUCUGUCACCUUUGGGACCCGCUUCUAACCGUCUUGACCUUGCAUCGAGACAACGUUCGAGCAUGUCUCCCUUUCUCGGGAAGCUCCCUCGACCCCACGAACCCCUUGACCUCAAAUCGGGUGAGACUACCCGCUGAACUUAA